UCCGUAGGUGAACCUGCGGAAGGAUCAUUAACGAGUUUGAAAAGAGUUGUAGCUGGCCUUCUGAGGUAAUGUGCACACUCUGCUCAUCCACACACACCUGUGCACAUCGAUAGUCUUUUUUUUUUCGAAGGGGGGAAACUAGCCCUUUGGGUGAAAGUCCACCCUCCUUAGAAAAAGCUAUUUUUUACACAUACACUUUUAGUUAAGAAUGUAUCUAUUGCUAUAAAAACGCAUUAAAUAUAACUUUCAACAACGGAUCUCUUGGCUCUCGCAUCGAUGAAGAACGCAGCGAAAUGCGAUAAGUAAUGUGAAUUGCAGAAUUCAGUGAAUCAUCGAAUCUUUGAACGCACAUUGCGCCCUCUGGUAUUCCGGGGGGCAUGCCUGUUCGAGCGUCAUUACAACCCUCAAGCUUUGCUUGGUAUUGGACAUUGCCAGUUUCUGGCAGGUCUUAAAAUCAGUGGCGGUGCCAUUUGGCUUCAAGCGUAGUAAUUCUUCUCGCUUCGGAGAUCCAGGUGGUUACUUGCCAAUAACCCCCAAUUUUUUCAGGUU
rnacentral:rRNA from 1 species